AACGGCGGGAAAGACUCCACGGAGGGUGUAAGACCCGUGUGGGCGCGUGUCAAAGCUGUGCGGGCUCGGCCUCUUUUCCCUGAGAGUCGCGUUGCUUGAGCAUGCAGCGCUAAGCAGGUCGUAAACUCGAUCUAAGGCUAAAUAUAUCCACAGAACCGACAGCUAACAAGUACCGUGAGGGAAAGUUGAAAAGCACUCUGAAGAGAGAGUCAAAAGACCGUGAAGCUGCUCAGAGUAUAAGCCAAUGGUGCUUGGAAGGCAUGUCGAUAGCGGGGCAGUUUCUCCUGCGAGGUUCGCUGAGCAGGGGAGCUGUCACGGGUCUUUGGCGAUGGUUCGUCAGGUAGGGGGGUUAAGUCCACAUCCCGCCGACGUGCGGGGAGUGCGGUCUUGUGGGUGUUUGAGGGUUCUCUCUCCUCGUGGGAGAUGUGACUUUCUAGCUCACUUGCCCUCUCCUUAUGCGCGGACGUUCACAGCCAUCGACUCGAUGCGACAACGCCCACCACGGCACGUUGCGAGGUCACCCACAGGCUCAACUGUCGAUUGCGAUUCUAUGCUUGCGUUGCAGUGUGGUUCCCACGAGCUCGCAGGCGAGGGUCGAGCGACGACCGAGUGCUGGUAUGAUCCUCUUGCGACGAGCCGCUUUCUGGCCGCGCCUUCACCCGGGACGAUCGCAAUCAUCGCGUUCGCUCCUAUCCCAGGCUGGUUUGGUCCUUGCGAGUCCUCCAGCCGCGGUGUUUGUGCACGAGUGGUGUUCACUCCAAGCCCAUCGGUCACGUCUCGAAACACGGACCAAGGAGUAUAGCAUGCGUGCAAGUCUAAGGGUCCCACGAAACCCGAAGGCGAAKUGAAAGCGAGAAUGCGGCGGGCAAGCUUUUAGCGAGCUCGUCGGCUGUGGGGCGCUCUCGGGCGCACCCAGCUAAGCAGAGCUGAUCCUGCAAUUGGCGUAAACGUCRAUKCAGGCGCAAGCUCCGGGCUCACGUCCAUGCACUGGUCACGCUCGCUUGCGGGUGUGGCUGUKUUKUGAGCACCGAGGAGCAGGCAUGCUAUGACCCGAAA
rnacentral:rRNA from 1 species